rnacentral:rRNA from 1 species
GCCUGGUAGCGGGGGAUAACUAUUGGAAACGAUAGCUAAUACCGCAUAAUAUUAAUUAUUGCAUGAUAAUUGAUUGAAAGAUGCAACUGCAUCACUACCAGAUGGACCUGCGUUGUAUUAGCUAGUAGGUGAGGUAACGGCUCACCUAGGCGACGAUACAUAGCCGACCUGAGAGGGUGAUCGGCCACACUGGGACUGAGACACGGCCCAG